GAAUUUCUUCUGGACCUGACAGAUGCUUCCUUGUACAGCCGUUCCCGAGGACUGAGCAGUUUGAAGUUUCCAAAGAUGAAAACAUGGCUGCUCCUGGCUAUAGGAUUUGCCUGGUCCAGAAGGUGUUUCCUUACCAAGGACCUCUACUUGGGUGGCAGUCUGGAGAACAAGGU